rnacentral:rRNA from 1 species
GAUUUUCCAUUCGUAUAAUCGCCUAUAUCUCGGAGACUAUAAGACCUAGGAAAUUUUAGUCCCAGAUGCCUUAUGUGAAUACGCAAAUCGUAACUCCCGUAAUUCUUGGAAUUUCAAACUCAAACUUGGCAAAUACCUCCAUUUAGUUAUUAUAAGUCCAAAUUCAGUUUGAUCAUGAUAGGCCGAUUUAACAGGAAGUUAUAGCCAUAUAUGUACAUAAGAACAUGUAGUGCCCGCAGCUGUUGUUGUUACUGCUUUGCUCAGGCACAUACAUAUGUACAGAGUAUUUCAAAGUCGGGAUACCCGACUUUAGCUUCUCUACUUGUUAUUACUAACUAUGUUUUCAAAGCGCGGCAGCUCCUCAUGGAGGAAUAUGGCCGUUGCCGGAGCCCCAGUUGGCACUGCUUCCACCACGCACUCUCCGCCGUCGUUUCUCACGCUCAUUUCGUAGCUCCAGCAGCUGGCCGGCAAUAGUGAGCGUGCCGUGGGCGUGGCCGCUGUAGUCGAAGCCCAACGAGAGCUCACCUUUGCCCAGCAGCGUCAGCAGUGGCAAUGCGACGCGUCUCUUUCCCAUCCAUACCGUCAUCAUUGCAAAUCAUUCUCCGCGUGCCGGGCUUGCGUGGCUCCGGUAUCCACGGACCAACCACAGCAUUCAUCAUUAUAAUUAUAGUAUUUAAACAGUAUUAUUAAUAAUAGUGUGCAUUUUCCCCAUAUAAGGACAUUGAAAUCUAAAGCGGAGUAGUUUUUAAAUUAAUUAUAAUUUAUUACCACAAUCUCGGGGCGCUCUAUAAAGUUCUAUAUAUAAUGAUAUUUAUAUAUUAUUUAUACCUCUAACUGGAACGUACCUUGAGCAUUUAUGCUCUGACCCGAAAGAUGGUGAUAUAUACUUGAUCACGUUGAAGUCAGGAAAACCCUGAUGGAAGACCGAAACAGUUCUGACGUGCAAAUCGAUUGUCAGAGUUGAGUAUAGGGGCGAAAGACCAUCCGAACCAUCUAGUAGCUGGUUUUUUCCUUAACCCAUUCUCAAACUUUAAAUGGGUAAGAACCAUAACUUUCUUGAAAUGAAUUUUUAAGGUUAUGAUAUAAUGUGCCCAGUGGGCCACUUUUGGUAAGCAGAACUGGCGCUGUGGGAUGAACCAAACGUAAUGAUACGGUGCCCAAUUUAACAACUCAUGCAGAUACCAUGAAAGAAGUUGGAUGCUUAAAACAGCAGGACGGUGCACAUGUAAGUCGUAAUCCGCUAACAACUCACCUGCCGAAGCAGCUAGCCCUUAAAAUGGAUGGCGCUUAAGUUGUAUACCUAUACAUUACCGCUGAAGUAAAUGAUUUAUAUUCAAUUAUAAAUAUAAAUUUCGAAACUUUAGUAAGUAGGAAGGUACAAUGGUGUGCGUAGAAGUGUUUGGCGUAAGCCUGCAUGGAGCCGCCAUUGGUACAGAUCUUGGAGGUAGUAGCAAAUAAUCGAAUGAGACCUUGGAGGACUGAAGUGGAGAAGGGUUUCGUGUGAACAGCGGUUGGUUCACGAAUUAGUCGGUCCUAAGUUCAAGGCGAAAGCCGAAAAUUUUCAAGUAAAAUAUAUAUAUAAAUAAAUUUAUUAUACACUUGAAUAAUUUUGAACGAAAUACUGUUCCAAUUCCGAAACCUGUUGAGUAUCCGUUUGUUAUUAAAUAUGGACCUUGCGCUCAUGCUGGCAACAGGAACGACCAUAAAAAGCCAUCGAAAGAUAUCGGAAGAGUAUUCUUCUGUGUUUUAUAGCCGUACUACCAUUGAAGUCUUUCGCAGAGAGGAAGCGCAUCACAUAUACUGUUGUGUCGAUAUUUUCUCCUCGGAUCUUGCAUAUUUAUGGUGGGGACACGCACGUUGAGAAGUCAACAGGCCGUACCAAUAUCCGCAGCUAGUCUCCAAGGUGAAGAGUGUCUAGUCAAUUAAAUAAUGUGGUAAGGGAAGUCGG